UGGAAGAAACUGCACUUGGCCUGUA
rnacentral:piRNA from 1 species